rnacentral:rRNA from 1 species
CGGCGAACGGUCGCGUAACACGUAAGCAACCUGCCCGAAAGACCGGGACAACAGUUCGAAAGGGCUGCUAAUACCGGAUGUGCCCAUUUUUUCACCUGGGAGAAUGAGUAAAACCUCGCAAGGGGGCUUUUGGAGGGGCUUGCGGCCUAUCAGGUAGUUGGUGGGGUAACGGCCUACCAAGCCGACGACGGGUAGCUGGUCUGAGAGGAUGGUCAGCCGGACUGGGACUGAGAGACGGCCCAG